UACGUAGGGUGCAAGCGUUGUCCGGAAUUAUUGGGCGUAAAGGGCUCGUAGGCGGUCCGUCACGUCGGGAGUGAAAACUUGGGGCUCAACCCCAAGCUUGCUUUCGAUACGGGCGGACUAGAGGUAGGCAGGGGAGAAUGGAAUUCCUGGUGUAGCGGUGGAAUGCGCAGAUAUCAGGAGGAACACCGGUGGCGAAGGCGGUUCUCUGGGACGGUACUGACGCUGAGACGCGAAAGCGUGGGGAGCGAACAGG
rnacentral:rRNA from 1 species